GUCGGGUAUGAAUCCCAUUUUUAUGCUACCCUACAGGAUGGCACCAACAGAGUUAAAGGAACUGAAGGAGCAACAGCAAGAGCUUCUGGACAAGGGUUUCAUCCGACCAAGUACUUCACCUUGGGGUGCUUCUGUUCUAUUUGUGAGAAAGAAUGAUGGAUCUUUGAGAUUGUAUAUUGAUUAUAGAUAGUGGAAUAAAGUGACUAUUAAGAAUAAAUAUCCGCUUCUCGGAUUGAUGACCAGUUUGAUCAACUGAAAGGGACUAGAUUUUUCUCAAAAAUAAACCUAAGGUUGGGUUAUCACUAGUUGAGGAUCCGAAAUGAGGAUGUAUCGAAAACAACAUUCAGAACAAG
rnacentral:misc_RNA from 1 species